AGUGAACGCUGGCGGUAGGCCUAGCACAUGCAAGUCGAACGGCAGCACAGUAAGAGCUUGCUCUUACGGGUGGCGAGUGGCGGACGGGUGAGGAAUACAUCGGAAUCUACUUUUUCGUGGGGGAUAACGUAGGGAAACUUACGCUAAUACCGCAUACGACCUACGGGUGAAAGCAGGGGAUCUUCGGACCUUGCGCGAUUGAAUGAGCCGAUGUCGGAUUAGCUAGUUGGCGGGGUAAAGGCCCACCAAGGCGACGAUGCGUAGCUGGUCUGAGAGGAUGAUCAGCCACACUGGAACUGAGACACGGUCCAGACUCCUACGGGAGGCAGCAGUGGGGAAUAUUGGACAAUGGGCGCAAGCCUGAUGCAGCCAUACCGCGUGAGUGAAGAAGGCCUUCGGGUUGUAAAGCCCUUUUGUUGGGAAAGAAAAGCAGCAGAUUAAUCCCCCGCUGUUCUGACGGUACCCAAAGAAUAAGCAACGGCUAACUUCGUG
rnacentral:rRNA from 1 species